AGCAUAUUAGUAAGCGGAGGAAAAGAAACUAAACAAGGAUUCCCUUAGUAGCUGCGAGCGAACAGGRAAGAGCCCAGCGCUGAAUCUCAAAGGCUUCGCCUUUCGUGAAAUGUAGCGUUUAGGAGGGUCCGAUUCCCCCAGAGUUUCGUACACCUAGUCAAAGUCCAUCUUGAACGGGGCCACAGUCCGUAKAAGGUGCUAGGCCCGUGGAGACAGGUGUCGGCUUUGGGUGGGCCUCUCCUUAGAGUCAGGUUGCUUGAGAGUGCAGCCCUAAGCAGGUGUAAACUCCAUCUAAGGCUAAAUACGACCAUCGAGAC
rnacentral:rRNA from 1 species